GGGGGUUUGGCUCAGUGGUAGAGUGCUUGCCUAGGAAGCGCAAGGUCCUGGGUUCGGUCCCCAGCCCCG
rnacentral:tRNA from 1 species